UUCUUCUGUUGCAGUCAUGGGUUGUUUUAAGGUGGAGAUAUGGUUCUUCUGUUGCAGUCAUGGGUUGUUUUAAGGUGGAGAUGUGGUUCUUCUGUUGCAGUCAUGGGUUGUUUUAAGGUGGAGAUAUGGUUCUUCUGUUGUAGUCAUGGGUUGUUUUAAGGUGGAGAUAUGGUUCUUCUGUUGUAGUCAUGGGUUGUUUUAAGA